rnacentral:rRNA from 1 species
UACGAAGGGGGCUAGCGUUGUUCGGAAUUACUGGGCGUAAAGCGUGCGCAGGCGGCUUCUCAAGUCAGGGGUGAAAGCCCAGAGCUUAACUCUGGAAUUGCCUUUGAGACUGAGAGGCUUGAGUACGGGAGAGGUGAGUGGAAUUCCGAGUGUAGAGGUGAAAUUCGUAGAUAUUCGGAAGAACACCAGUGGCGAAGGCGACUCACUGGACACGUAUUGACGCUGAAGUGCGAAAGCGUGGGGAGCAAACAGG